rnacentral:rRNA from 1 species
AACGAACGCUGGCGGCAGGCUUAACACAUGCAAGUCGAACGGGCACCUUCGGGUGUCAGUGGCAGACGGGUGAGUAACGCGUGGGAACGUACCCUUCGGUUCGGAAUAACCCAGGGAAACUUGGGCUAAUACCGGAUACGUCCGUAAGGAGAAAGAUUUAUUGCCGAAGGAUCGGCCCGCGUCGGAUUAGCUAGUUGGUGGGGUAAUGGCCCACCAAGGCGACGAUCCGUAGCUGGUCUGAGAGGAUGAUCAGCCACACUGGGACUGAGACACGGCCCAGACUCCUACGGGAGGCAGCAGUGGGGAAUAUUGGACAAUGGGCGAAAGCCUGAUCCAGCCAUGCCGCGUGAGUGAAGAAGGCCUUAGGGUUGUAAAGCUCUUUCAGCGGGGAAGAUAAUGACGGUACCCGCAGAAGAAGUCCCGGCUAACUUCGUGCCAGCCG